CAACUCUUGGACGCAUCCAAUUUCUGAUCUUUGAGAUUGAAGCAGAGCACUGAUGUCUGGGCGUGGAAAUGGAGGCAAGGUUUUGGGUAAGGGAGGAGCAAAAUGACAUCGUAAGGUCUUCCGCGAUAGCAUCAAGGGCACCAAGCUGUCGACAGCGAGGAGAAGGAGAUCGGAAAGCAGGGAUUGAAGAAAAAACUCCUCAAGGAACGUGAAGGCUGGGAUAUACGCCGAAUACAUCACACCGGGAAUUUGGUGGGCGGGACACAGUUUCAUUCGAGCGGCGAUAGGGGGACAUGGAUAAGUUCACUCAAACAAGGUGUUAUAUUAUUCGGUAUCGAAUUGUUACUUAUGCACACAAGGUGUUCGACAAAGUGAUUCUAAAUUGCUUUCUUUUGAGUUUAAGACUUGGGUUUAACCUACAGCAGGUUUUGGUCUUUUUGUCUUAUGCCACUAGUGCUUGAUCUUAAUUACCAGUUACUGAAGUA